CAGCACCUCAAGUGGUCAGGAUGAUUAUUGGGCCUAAAGCAUCCGUAGCCGGCGCUGUAAGUUUUCGGUUAAAUCUGUACGCUCAACGUACAGGCUGCCGGGAAUACUGCAGCGCUAGGGAGUGGGAGAGGUAGACGGUACUCGGUAGGAAGGGGUAAAAUCCUUUGACCUAUUGAUGACCACCUGUGGCGAAGGCGGUCUACCAGAACACGUCCGACGGUGAGGGAUGAAAGCUGGGGGAGCAAACCGGAUUAGAUACCCGAGUAGUCC
rnacentral:rRNA from 1 species